CAAUAGCGUAUAUUUAAGUUGUUGCAGUUAAAAAGCUCGUAGUUGGAUUUCGGUUAAGAGCGACCGGUCCGCCGUUUGGUGUGCACUGGUUGGUUUUAACUUCCUGUAGAGGACGUGCUCUGGGUUUAACGACCUGGACUCGGAGUCUACGUGGUUACUUUGAAAAAAUUAGAGUGUUCAAAGAGGGCUUACGCUUGAAUAUUUCAGCAUGGAAUAACACUAUAGGACUCCUGUCCUAUUUCGUUGGUCUCGGGACGGGAGUAAUGAUUAAGAGGAACAGUUGGGGGCAUUCGUAUUUCAUUGUCAGAGGUGAAAUUCUUGGAUUUAUGAAAGACGAACUUCUGCGAAAGCAUUUGCCAAGGAUGUUUUCAUUAA
rnacentral:rRNA from 1 species